GAUAUGUUCUAAAAAUGUUUAUGAUUGAAUCUUAAAUGGUAAUAUUUGUAGAAAUAUAGUUAAUCAUUACAAUGUCUAGCUUAUGGAUGUAUAGUCAAAAUAUAAGAGUAAAUCAAAUGCAUUUGUAUUCCCCUGCUUUUAGAGCCAAUUAUUAAAAAAUACACCAAAAUCAUUGAUGGAGUGCCUGUGGAAAUAACUGAAAAAGAGACACGAGAAGAACGAAUCAUUACAGGUCCUGAAAUAAAAUACACUAGGAUUUCUACUGGAGGCGGAGAAACAGAAGAAACUCUGAAGAAAUUGUUCCAAGAAGACACACCUGUGAGGAAGUUGCAAGCCAACAAAAGAGUUCAAGGAUCUAGAAGACGAUUAAGGGAAGGUCGUUCUCAGUGAAAAUCCAAAAACCAGACAAAAAUGUUUAUACAACCUAAGUCAAUAACCUGACCUUAGAAAAUUGUGAGAGCCAAGCUGACUUCAGGAACUGAAACAUCAGCACAAAGAGC
rnacentral:sRNA from 1 species